rnacentral:rRNA from 1 species
GACGAACGCUGGCGGCGUGCUUAACACAUGCAAGUCGAACGAUGAAGCUGGAGCUUGCUCCGGUGGAUUAGUGGCGAACGGGUGAGUAACACGUGAGCAAUCUGCCCUUGACUCUGGGAUAACUGCGGGAAACUGUAGCUAAUACCGGAUACGAGGCUCGAAGGCAUCUUCGGGUCUGGAAAGAAUUUCGGUCAAGGAUGAGCGCGAGGCCUAUCAGCUUGUUGGUGAGGUAAUGGCGCACCAAGGCGACGACGGGUAGCCGGCCUGAGAGGGUGACCGGCCACACUGGGACUGAGACACGGCCCAGACUCCUACGGGAGGCAGCAGUGGGGAAUAUUGCACAAUGGGCGAAAGCCUGAUGCAGCAACGCCGCGUGAGGGAUGAAGGCCUUCGGGUUGUAAACCUCUUUUAGCAGGGAAGAAGCGAAAGUGACGGUACCUGCAGAAAAAGCACCGGCUAACUACGUGCCAGCCGCCGCCGUAA